rnacentral:rRNA from 1 species
UAGGGAAUCUUCCGCAAUGGACGAAAGUCUGACGGAGCAACGCCGCGUGAACGAUGAAGGCCUUCGGGUCGUAAAGUUCUGUUGUUAGGGAAGAACAAGUACCAGAGUAACUGCUGGUACCUUGACGGUACCUAACCAGAAAGCCACGGCUAACUACGUGCCAGCAGCCGCGGUAAUACGUAGGUGGCAAGCGUUGUCCGGAAUUAUUGGGCGUAAAGCGCGCGCAGGUGGUUUCUUAAGUCUGAUGUGAAAGCCCACGGCUCAACCGUGGAGGGUCAUUGGAAACUGGGGAACUUGAGUGCAGAAGAGGAAAGUGGAAUUCCAAGUGUAGCGGUGAAAUGCGUAGAGAUUUGGAGGAACACCAGUGGCGAAGGCGACUUUCUGGUCUGUAACUGACACUGAGGCGCGAAAGCGUGGGGAGCGAACA